rnacentral:rRNA from 1 species
GCAAAGUGCGAUAACUAGUGUGAAUUGCAUAUUCAGUGAAUCAUCGAGUCUUUGAACGCAGCUUGCACUCUAUGGUUUUUCUAUAGAGUACGCCUGCUUCAGUAUCAUCACAAACCCACACAUAACAUUUGUUUAUGUGGUGAUGGGUCGCAUCGCU